GAGAUUGUGGCCGAGUGGAUUAGGCACAAGAUUGUGGCUCUUGUUCACGCCGGUUCGAAUCCGACCAAUCUCCCA
rnacentral:tRNA from 1 species